rnacentral:rRNA from 1 species
GACAGAGGGUGCAAACGUUGUUCGGAAUUACUGGGCGUAAAGCGAGUGUAGGCGGUUUCCUAAGUCAGGUGUGAAAGCCCCGGGCUCAACCCGGGAAGUGCACUUGAAACUGGGAGGCUAGAGUAUCGGAGAGGUUGGUGGAAUUCGUCGGUGUAGAGGUGAAAUUCGUAGAUAAUCGAGAGGAACACCGGUGGCGAAGGCGGCAUCCUGGACCGACACUGACGCUGAGGAGCGAAAGCCAGGGGAGCAAACGGG